UACGUAGGGGGCUAGCGUUGUCCGGAAUUAUUGGGCGUAAAGAGCUCGUAGGCGGUCUGUCGCGUCGGAUGUGAAAAUCCAGGGCUCAACCCUGGACCUGCAUUCGAUACGGGCAGACUAGAGUUCGGUAGGGGAGACUGGAAUUCCUGGUGUAGCGGUGAAAUGCGCAGAUAUCAGGAGGAACACCGGUGGCGAAGGCGGGUCUCUGGGCCGAAACUGACGCUGAGGAGCGAAAGCGUGGGGAGCAAACAGG
rnacentral:rRNA from 1 species